rnacentral:rRNA from 1 species
UACGUAGGUGGCAAGCGUUAUCCGGAUUUAUUGGGUGUAAAGGGCGUGUAGGCGGGAAUGCAAGUCAGAUGUGAAAACUCAGGGCUCAACCCUGAGCCUGCAUUUGAAACUGUAUUUCUUGAGUGCUGGAGAGGCAAUCGGAAUUCCGUGUGUAGCGGUGAAAUGCAUAGAUAUCACGCAGAACUCCGAUUGCGAAGGCAGCAUACCGGCGCCCUACUGACGCUGAGGCACGAAAGCGUGGGUAUCGAACAGG